rnacentral:rRNA from 1 species
UACGUAGGGGGGCUAGCGUUUGUCCGGAAUCAUUGGGCGUAAAGAGCGCGUAGGCGGCCAGAUAAGUCCGGUGUGAAAGUCAAAGGCUCAACCUUUGAAUGCCGCUGGAAACUGUCUGGCUAGAGUCCGGGAGGGGCGAGUGGAAUUCCUGGUGUAGCGGUGAAAUGCGUAGAGAUGUGGAGGAAUACCGAUGGCGAAGGCAGCCCCCUGGGAUAACACUGACGCUCAUGCACGAAAGCGUGGGGAGCAAACAGG